CUGAGGUUUUAGGACUGCAGGUUGUCAAAGAUCAGCUGUUCUUCUCUGGCCUCAGCUCUGAAGUCCAACCCCUCCCACCUGAAGGAGCUAGACCUGGAUUACAACCAUCUGCGGUCUCCAGCUGUGCAGCAGCUGGUUGCUCUCCAGCAGAGUCCAGACUGCAGCCUGCAGACUCUGAGCUGUGAGACGAACAUCUUGUGGGACUGAGUGACAGAGGAAGCAGCAGAAGAGC